AUGAGCCUACGGAAUUGUCUUGUCUUGCUAGGGAGUUUUCCUGGGAGGAGAUUGUUCAAGCAAUCAACCAUUUGCCUAACAACCGCAGCCCUGGCUCGAAUGGGUUCACAAAUGAGUUCUACAAAGCUUUCCACAGUGUUAUCAAGGAGGAUCUGCAACUCUUUUUUGAUCAGUUAUACCACAACCAAGUGGAUCUCUCUGGCAUCAAUCAAGCAUACACUUCCCUCUUACCCAAGGACAGCCCCUUGGAGUUGGGUGAUUUUAGGCCAAUUUCUAUUGUACAUAGUGUGCCUAAGCUUGCUGGCAAGGUCCUUGCCCGGCGGCUACAACUGCAGAUCCCCUCUCUGGUUCACUCUUUGCAGGCAGGUUUCAUCAAGGGCCGGUCUAUUGUUAGAGAAUUUUGCUAUGGCUGCUAACAUGGUUCAAACUGCUCAUAAGAGGAAACUACCAAUAGUGGUCCUUAAGCUGGAUUUCCAGAAGGCGUUCGAUAAUGUCAGUUGGGCAUGCCUCUUCAGCAUUCUUCAGGCCCGUGGUUUUCCUCCACGCUGGAUCAUUUGGAUUACAUCGCUCUUGACCAUAGCUAGCUCUCGGAUCAUGCUUAAUGAUGGCAGUCUGCUUCAUCCGCUUGGCUUUGAUCGGAUGUUCCCUAUGCUGCAGUACGCCGACGAUACGUUGCUUCUGUUCCAGGGUAAUAUCCAGCAAGCGGCAAUCUUUAAACAAGUCUUAUCUGACUUCUCAGCUUUCACGGGACUGCAUAUCAACUUUCAUAAAAGCACUUUGAUCCCCAUUUGCAUCGACUCAAGAAGCACGCAGGAAAUUGCCGAUCUGUUUGGAUGCCCCAUCUCAAGCUUCCGUGCACAUACCUAG
rnacentral:rRNA from 1 species